rnacentral:rRNA from 1 species
GGGUCAGUAGGUUGGUCGUGCCACCGGUACGUACUGGUCUCACUGAUUCCUCCUUCCUGAAGAACCGUAAUGCCAUUAAUUUGGUGUUGCGGGGAAACAGGACUGUUACUUUGAAAAAAUUAGAGUGUUUAAAGCAAGCUACCGCCUGAAUACAUUAGCAUGGAAUAAUGAAAUAGGACGAUCGAUCCUAUUUUGUUGGUUUCUAGGAUUGACGUA